ACCCAGCUGAUGUGUCCCAAGUUGGACGAAACGCGUGUCCUGGAC
rfam:Schistosoma margrebowiei strain Zambia genome assembly, scaffold: SMRZ_scaffold0000002